GGAACUUCCUGAUUGCCAAGACCUCUCAGAGAUGAGAAGAAUUCUGUUUCAUAAUGACAUCUGCCUUAUCCAUCAGCAUCCUUGAAUACAAUCUCACUUAUCUGAUGGACUUUAUACAUCCAAAUUAUGUACACUGUCCCCAGACUCUGUUGCUCUGCAUGUGAGCUGUGUUUGAAGCAUGUUGACGCUCUCCGCCUUGAUGCAGCUGGCACCCCAGAUCGAUUACUGGAUGCUCAACUUGAAAACAGUUGAAAGGAAAACCACAGGGCAGACGAUAUGGUUGGCUCUGGGGCCUGAUGGAUGUUGGCUGACCCAACAUUGCUUCAUCCCAGCAGAGUUCCUUUAUUUUGUAUCUCUGCAUUGAAAACCAUGGAGACUUUCAAAUACCCUGCAUACUAAUUCAAUUUUCCAGUGGCUAUCACAACAUUGAUAUGAGGUGCCCAGAGGAGCAUAAUUGCAGGUUGAUGACUCUGAUCCUAUCAACAACCAAUAAGACUGUAGGCACUCAGACAUAUUUGGAUUUUGUUAUCGUUUCUCAAGAUCCAGCCUGGGGUAAGGUCCCCACCUCCAUGCACAGGUAGAUCAGAAGAGACUCCCUGUUUUAUACUGCUCAGCCGGAAGAGCACAUGAUCACCACUGCUCACAGAAGCACCUGCUCUCUUGAAGAUGAAGCUCCCAGCACUGAUUAUAGAAGCAAAACUGGUGGAAGGCAGCCUACUUGUGCUGACAACAGUCUGUGAACUUAGGCUGCUGCUGUCCCUUAUAUGCAGCACCUUCCUCUUUGAAAAGGAUGAGCAAAGUGAAGCCCUGAUCACCACCAUGAAAGGGAACAGCCCCCCACACUCCAAGUGAUGAGCAUAGACACAGGGCUCCCAUACAGAAGUGAUGCCAGCAGGUAUGAAACACUCACUGCUUUACUGCCCUCGAGACAACUUCUCUUAAGAUGCCAAGGUAGCUGACAACUAAAACAUCCGCUUUCAGGUUUUUCUCACAAUCUCCACUGCAUCUAAAACAAACAAACAAAAACCACAUGCAAAAACAAUGAAAAGGAAUAAACAAACAAACGAAAC
ensembl:lncRNA